UGGGGAAUAUUGCACAAUGGGCGAAAGCCUGAUGCAGCAACGCCGCGUGAGUGAUGAAGGCCUUCGGGUUGUAAAGCUCUGUCUUUUGGGACGAUAAUGACGGUACCAAAGGAGGAAGCCACGGCUAACUACGUGCCAGCAGCCGCGGUAAUACGUAGGUGGCAAGCGUUGUCCGGAUUUACUGGGCGUAAAGGAUGCGUAGGCGGAUUUUUAAGUGAGAUGUGAAAUACCCGGGCUUAACUUGGGUGCUGCAUUUCAAACUGGGAAUCUAGAGUGCGGGAGAGGAGAAUGGAAUUCCUAGUGUAGCGGUGAAAGUGCGUAGAGAUUAGGAAGAACACCAGUGGCGAAGGCGAUUCUCUGGACCGUAACUGACGCUGAGGCAUGAAAGCGUGGGUAGCAAACAGGAUUAGAUACCCUGGUAGUCCACGCCGUAAACGAUGAGUACUAGGUGUAGGAGGUAUCGACCCCUUCUGUGCCGCAGUUAACACAAUCAAGUACUCCGCCUGGGAAGUACGAUCGCAAGAUUAAAACUCAAAUGAAUUGACGGGGUCAUAGCUGUUUCC
rnacentral:rRNA from 1 species